rnacentral:rRNA from 1 species
AUUGAACGCUGGCGGCACGCCUAACACAUGCAAGUCGAGCGGCAGCGAGACUAGUAGCAAUACUAGUUGUCGGCGAGCGGCGGACGGGUGAGUAACACGUAGGAAUCUGCCCUUAAGCGGGGGAUAACCAAGGGAAACUUUGGCUAAUACCGCAUAAUCUCGAGAGAGCAAAGCUGCCCGCAAGGGUGGCACUUGAGGAGGAGCCUGCGUCCGAUUAGCUAGUUGGUGGGGUAAUGGCCUACCAAGGCGAGGAUCGGUAACUGGUCUGGGCGGACGACCAGUCACACUGGGACGUAGACACGGCCCAGACUCCUACGGGAGGCAGCAGUGGGGAAUAUUGGACAAUGGGGGCAACCCUGAUCCAGCGAUGCCGCGUGAGUGAAGAAGGCCUUCGGGUCGUAAAGCUCUUUAGGUUGGGAAGAAGGGUAUUGGCUGAAUAAUCCAGUACUUUGACGGUACCGACAGAAUAAGCACCGGCAAACUCUGUGCCAGCCGCCGCCGCGGUAA